GACGAACGCUGGCGGCGUGCCUAUACAUGCAAGUUGAGCGCUGAAGGUUGGUACUUGUACCAACUGGAUGAGCAGCGAACGGGUGAGUAACGCGUGGGGAAUCUGCCUUUGAGCGGGGGACAACAUUUGGAAACGAAUGCUAAUACCGCAUAAAAACUUUAAACACAAGUUUUAAGUUUGAAAGAUGCAAUUGCAUCACUCAAAGAUGAUCCCGCGUUGUAUUAGCUAGUUGGUGAGGUAAAGGCUCACCAAGGCGAGGAUACAUAGCCGACCUGAGAGGGUGAUCGGCCACAUUGGGACUGAGACACGGCCCAAACUCCUACGGGAGGCAGCAGUAGGGAAUCUUCGGCAAUGGACGAAAGUCUGACCGAGCAACGCCGCGUGAGUGAAGAAGGUUUUCGGAUCGUAAAACUCUGUUGGUAGAGAAGAACGUUGGUGAGAGUGGAAAGCUCAUCAAGUGACGGUAACUACCCAGAAAGGGACGGCUAACUACGUG
rnacentral:rRNA from 1 species